GAAAGCAGGGGAUCGAAAGACCUUAUGCUUUUGGAGCGGCCGAUGUCUGAUUAGCUAGUUGGUAAGGUAAUGGCUUACCAAGGCGACGAUCAGUAGUUGGUCUGAGAGGACGGCCAGCCACACUGGGACUGAGACACGGCCCAGACUCCUACGGGAGGCAGCAGUGGGGAAUUUUGGACAAUGGGCGCAAGCCUGAUCCAGCAAUUCCGCGUGAGUGAAGAAGGCCUUCGGGUUGUAAAGCUCUUUCAGUCGAGAAGAAAAGGUUGUGACUAAUAAUCAUAACUCAUGACGGUAUCGACAGAAGAAGCACCGGCUAACUACGUGCCAGCAGCCGCGGUAAUACGUAGGGUGCAAGCGUUAAUCGGAAUUACUGGGCGUAAAUGGGCGCAGGC
rnacentral:rRNA from 1 species